ensembl:lncRNA
GUUCACUAUGCUUUCAGUCAAAACCACAAUAUUAAAAAAAUGAGUUACAUUUUGGAGAAGGAAAUGGCAAACCACUCCAUUAUUCUUGCCUGAAAAAUCCAUGGGCAGAGGAGUCAUGGGAUUGCAAAGAGUUGGACAUGACUGAGUGAGCAAACAGUUGUAUUUGCCAGGACAAUUAGUGAAGAUUUAAAAAAUAAAGCACCCAUUUUGUCGGAAAUUAGGAGAGAUGGGCACAUUGUUAGCGGGAAUCCAGACUGGCACAUGUUUUCUAGGAGACAAUUGGGCCAUAGAAUUAAAAACUAUAAAAAUGUUCUGAAGACUUAAAGAAGCAGUGUCUGGAAGGGAAGUUGAUACGGGGCAUCCACACUGCUUAUAUUGUCCCUGUUCCCCUUCACUCCAGCUCACUCAGGCUCUCAUCAUGUCCCACGUAUAUUCCUCGAAUAGCCUCUUAACUAGUAGAGUUUCCUCCACAUUUUCUUUUAACAUGAUCAUCUGCUUUGCCAUGUUGGUGUUCUAAAUACAAACCAUCUAUGUUCUUUUGUUUUGCCAGUACCUCCCAUGUUCCCAUCACUUAAAGGAUUAAGGUCAAUAUUCUUAAUAUGGCUUGCAAGGUUCUCCAUGUCCUGACCCCUGUCAAAUUCUCUAGGCAUACCUUUUACCCCCACUGUUUUGCCCCAUUCAUAAUACCCAUCUGCUGAUAAUUUUUACAGAUGUGUUACUUCUAUUCAUAUUCUUUCAGUUAGUUCAGUCCUGUCCUCCCCAUCCCCAUCACUCACUCUAUUUCUUUGCAAAGAAGGCUCUGCGUGCAUGCUUGCUAAGUUGCUUCAGUCACGUCUGACUCUGCAGUCCUAUGGACUGUAGCCUGCCAGGCUUCUCUGUCCAUAGGAUUCUCCAGGCAAGAAUACUGGAGUGGGUUGCCUUUGCCUCCUCCAGGGGAUCUUCCUGACCCAGGGAUCAAACCUGCAUCCCUUACUUCACCUGCAUUGGCAGGCAGGUUCUUUACCACUAGUGCCACCUGGAAAGCCCUAGCGAAGGCUGUGCCUUCCUUUAGAAAGCUUUCUAUGACUUCCUGGGCUGGAUUAAGUACCCCUCCAUUUGCUCCCACAAAACACAUUAUCUACUCCCCCACGUUAUUUUUGUGAAAUUCGUUCAUGUCACUGUAAGUAGUUGUAGUUUGUUCACUCUCAUUUCUCUCUUCAAUCAUCAAAAUAUUUCACAAUUGUUAUUGCAUAAUUACUCCAGAUACUGGUUACUAGGUGUAGUGCUUCUGUUAGCGUUCUGUGCAUGUGUUUAGGUAAACAUGCCCUCAUUUCUGUUGGGUGUAUAUCUAGGACUGUAACUGCUCAAUCAUAGGAGGAGGUAGGCAGAAUAAUAAAAGCAGACUUUUAGAAUCCUUGCCCUAAUGAUUGGCUUUCCAGGUGGGCUUUGUAAUAGGGAGAUAACCAGGUAGGCCUAAUAUAAUCACAACUGCUUUGAAAGCAAGUGCUUUCUUCAUCUGGGAGCAGACAAGGGAGUCAGACAUGAAGCGCAAGGAAUACUUGCUGCGUUUGGGGGGGCUUUAGGAUACAGGGGUCCACCUUGCAAGGACUGGAAAGUGGCCUCUAGAAGCAGAGGAUGGCCUCAACUGGUCCCCAGCAAGGAAACAGGGCAUUGGCCCUAAAACAUCAAAGUCCUGAACUUUGCCAACAGUAAGUUAGGGAUGUGGGGUUCUCCCUAAAGCCUCUUGAUGAGAACUCAUCCUCCCCAACGCCUUGAUUUCAGCCUUGUGAUAUUCUGAGCAGAUCACCCAGCCACGCUGUGGUGGACUUCUGAUCUACAGAACUGCACGCCCGGUUGCCCUGGCACCGAAGGUCUGUCUUCCUGAGUUUCGUCUCUUCCGAGUACAGCUUCUACUCCUCCAUUCUUCACUGUCAACUCAGGUCUUCCCAGGUUGCAAUACCACACUGAAGGAUUACUGAAAAGACCAACCCAUGUUCAAACCCUACCUGAGGACCAGGUGGAGGCACUUAAUCUUUGAGUCUCGCUUUUCCUCAACUAUGAAAAGUGUACAUGUAUAUGUAAUGCCAUAGUAACACAUUAUUACUUAUACACAUUGUAAUAGUACUGUUGUGAGGAGUAAAUCAAGAUUUAAACACAGUACUAGGUUUUCAAGAAAUAUUUGUUCUUUCCAUCUCUCAGUCCUAGAGUUAACAUGGCCGUCCAUUUAGUAGUAAGAGCUACCACCUGGUUGCUUUCUCGUGGGUGGGGCCUGUUUUCUUUGCCUUUGUUUAUGAAAGAGCUUGAAGUAGGGUGAGCAGGUGUUGUUGAUAUUGGUGUCAGCAAACUAUGGCCCCUGAUCAAAUCUGGUCCAUAGAUCAUUUUUAUAGUCCACAAGUUAAGAAUAGCUGCUGCAGUUUUAAUUGGUUGAAGAAACCAAAGAGAAUUUUAUAUCAGACACUUUUAAAAGUGAAGUCACUCAGUCGUGUCUGACUCUUUGUGACCCCGUGGACUGCAGCCUACCAAGCUCCUCUGUCCAUGGGACUCUCCAGGCAAGAAUACUGGAGUGGGUUGCCAUUUCCUUCUCCAGGGGAUCUUCCCGACCCAGGGAUCGAACCCGGGUUUCCCACAUUGGAGGCAGACACUUUAACCUCUGAGCCACCAGGGAAGCCCCUUGAAAAUGAUAUAAAAUUCAAAUUUCAGUGUUUGUAAAUUUUCAUUGGAACACAAGUACUCACUUAUUUGCAUGUUGUCUAUGACUGCUGGCAUCCAAUGUCUGUUGAGUAUGCAUAACAGAGAUUCUACAGCCUACAAAGCCAUGUUUACCAUCUGAUUCUUUGCAGAAAAAAAAAUCUACUGACCUCUACCCUAGGCUCUUUCUUUCUUUUGUUCUUUUUUUAAAAAGUAAUGUUUCCUUAUUUUGGCUGCGCUGGGUCUUCGCUGCAGCUAUGCUUUCCUCUAGUUGUGGUGCUCGGACUUCUCAUUGCAGUGGCUUCUCUUCUUGCAGAGGCUCUAGGGUUCAUGGGCACAGUAGUUGUGGCUCCUGAGCUCUAGAGCACAGGCUCAGAAGUUGUGGCUCACAGGCUUAGUGCUCCACAGCAUGUGGGGUCUUCCCAGAUCAGGGACCAAACCCAUGUCUCCUCCAUCAGCAGGCAAUUUCUUUACCACUGAGCUAGUGGGUCCUUAGGCUGCUUCUUAUCUUAAGUAUUUCUAAAAGACAAGCUUUAAGAGACAUGGUACUCAUUCAGUUCAGUUCAGUCGUGUCUGACUCUUUGUGACCCCAUGGACUGCAGCACACCAGGCCUCCCUGUCCAUCACCAACUCUCGGAGCUGGCUCACUCAUGUCCAUUGAGUUGGUGACACCAUCCAACCAUCUCAUCCUCUGUCGUCCCCUUCUCUUCCCGCCUUCAAUCUUUCCCAGCAUCAGGGUCUUUUGAAAUGAGUCAGCUCUUCGCAUCAGGUGGCCAAAGUAUUGGAGUUUCAGCUUCAGCAUCAGUCCUUCCAAUGAAUAUUCAGGACCAAUCUCCUUUAGGAUAGACUGGUUGGAUCUCCUUGCAGUUCAAGGGACUCUCAAGAGUCUUCUCCAAUACCACAGUUCAAAAGCAUCAAUUCUUUCAUUCGUUCAGCUUUCUUUAUAGUCCAACUCUCAUAUCCAUACAUGACUACUGGAUUGGAUUGCAUUUAUUAAUUAAAAGAAAUGUCUCUUGAAGGCUUGAGUUUUGAAGUUUCCAUGUCCACCCCUUUUCUUGAACUUCAUGCAGUAUGUGAUAAGUUUGGGUUUGCAGGCCUGGCACAGAUAAGAAUGCAUGUCUGUUUCUAGAUACUCUGCCCAUCUGUUGGCUAAGAGCCACCAGUUUAGUGGUAAAGACUAGCUUUUAAGGUGUAUGUAUAUAGGUUCAGUUCAGUCGCUCACUCGUGUCCGACUCUGUGCUACGCCAUGGACUGCAGCAUGCCAGGCCUCCGUGUCCAUCACCAACUCCCAGAGUUUACCCAAACUCAUGUCCGUUGAGUCAGUGAUGCUAUCCAACCAUCUCAUCCUCUGUCAUCCCCUUCUCUUACAACUUUCAAUCUUUCCCAGAAUCAGGCUCUUUUCAAAUGAGACAGCUCUUUGCAUCAGGUGGCCAAAGUAUUGGGGUUUCAGCUUCAGCAUCAGUCCUUCCAAUGAACACCCAGGACUGAUCUCCUUUAGGAUGGACUGAUUGUAUCUCCUUGUAGUCCAAGGUGCUCUCAAGAGUCUUCUCCAACACCACAGUUCAAAAGCAUCAAUUCUUUGGUGCUCAGCUUUCUUCACAGUCCAACUCUCACAUCCAUACAUGACUACUGGAAAAACCAUAGCCUUGUCCAGACAGACCUUUGUUGACAAAGUAAUGUCUCUGCUUUUUAAUAUGCUAUCUAGGUUAGUCAUAACUUUUCUUCCAGGGAGUAAGGGUCUUUUUAUUUCAUGGCUGCAGUCACCAUCUGCAGUGAUUUUGGAGCCCAAGAAAAUUAAGUCUGCCACUGUUUCCACUGUUUCCCAUCUAUUUCCCAUGAAGUGAUGGGACCAGAUGCCAUGAUCUUUGUUUUCUGAAUGUUGACCUUUAAGUCAACUUUUUGACUCUCCUCCUUCACUUUCAUCAAGAGGCUCUUUAGUUCUUCUUUACUUUCUGCCAUAAGGGUGGUAUCAUCUGCAUAUCUGAGGUUAUUGAUAUUUCUCCCAGCAAUCUUGAUUCCAGCUUGUGCUUCCUCCAGUCCAGCAUUUCUCAUGAUGUACUCUGCAUAGAAGUUAAAUAAGCAGGGUGACAAUACACCGCCUUGAUGUACUCCUUUUCCUAUUUGGAACCGGUCUGUUGUUUCAUGUCCAGUUCUAACUGUUGCUUCCUGACCUGCAUACAGGUUUCUCAAGAGGCAGGUCAGGUGGUCUGGUAUUCCCAUCUCUUUCAGAAUUUUCCACAGUUUAUUGUGAUCCACACAGUCAAAGGCUUUGGCAUAGUCAAUAAAGCAGAAAUAGACGUUUUUCUGGAACUCUCUUGCUUUUUCCAUGAUCCAGCGGAUGUUGGCCAUUUGAUCUCUGGUUCCUCUGCCUUUUCUAAAACCAGCUUGAAUAUCUGGAAGUUCAUGGUUCACGUAUUGCUGAAGCCUGGCUUGGAGAAUUUUCAAUAUUACUUUACUAGCAUGUGAGAUGAGUGCAAUUGUGUGGUAGUUUUAGCAUUCUUUGGCAUUGCUUUACUUUGAGAUUGGAAUGAAAACAGACCUUUUCUAGUCCUGUGGCCACUGCUGAGUGUUCCAAAUUUGCUGGCAUAUUGGGUGCAGCACUUUCACAGCAUCAUCUUUUAGGAUUUGAAAUAGCUCAACUGGAAUUCCAUUCCAUCACCUCCACUAGAUUUGUUCAUAGUGAUGCUUCCUAAGGCCCACUUGACUUCACAUUCCAGGAUGUCUGGCUCUAGGUCAGUGAUCACACCAUCGUGAUUAUCUGGGUCAUGAAGAUCUUUUUUGUACAGUUCUUCUGUGUAUUCUUGCCACCUCUUCUUAAUAUCUUCUGCUUCUGUUACAUUUCCUUCUCCAGGGGAUCUUCCCAACCCAGGGAUCGAACCCGGGUCUCCUGCAUUGCAGACAGACGCUUUACCGUCUGAGCCACUCGGGAAGCCCCUGUCUCCUGUAUAAUGUCAUGAACCUCCAUCCACAGUUCAUCAGGCAAUCUGUCUAUCAAAUCUAGUCCCUUAAAUCUAUUUCUCACUUCCACUGUAUAGUCAUAAGAGAUUUGAUUUAGGUCAUACCUGAGUGGUCUAGUGGUUUUUCCUACUUCUUCAAUUUAAGUCUGAAUUUGGUAAUAAGGAGUUCAUGAUCUGAGCCACAGUCAGCUCCUGGUCUUGUUUUUGCUGACUGUAUAGAGCUUCUCCAUCUUUGGCUGCAAAGAAUAUAAUCAGUCUGAUUUUGAUGUUGGCCAUCUGGUGAUGUCCAUGUGUAGAGUCUUCUCUUGUGUUGUUGGAAGAGGAUGUUUGCUGUGACUAGCGCAGUCUCUUAGCAGAACUCUAUUAGCCUUUGCCCUCCUCCAUUCUGUACUCCAAGGCCAAAUUUGCCUGUUACUCCAGGUGUUUCUUGACUUCCUACUUUUGCAUUCCAGUCUGCUAUAAUGAAAAGGACAUCUUUUUUGGGGUGUUAAUUCUAGAAGGUCUUGUAGUUCUUUGUAGAACUGGUCAACUUCAGCUUCUUCAGCAUUACUGGUGGGGACAUAGACUUGGAUUACUGUGAUAUUGAAUGGUUUGCCUUGGAAAC